GGUUAUUCAACAAACAUCCACCAUACUUGAAUCUCAAAGUAGAAUUAAUCAACACAUUUUAUCUGGGAUUCUGGCUGCUAAUCAAAGGAUAGAUCUGCUUCAAGCUCAAGUUGAGGAAUUGUCUGAUCUAGUACAUUUGGGUUGUAUUGAUCAACGUGCACAUUUAUGUAUAACCUCUGUCAGAUUUUAUGAUUCCAGAAAUGCCUCCCGCAUCAUCGGGGAAUAUUUAUCCGGAACCUGGUCCAUGGAAGCAGAAAACUUGAUCCAGUCUCAACUAACUCAGAUUGCUGUUCUGAAUAGCACCCAUGUCGAACCAGUGACUUUGGGUCAAUUCACCAGUUGGCUAUCCUCUGCCUUUUCCUUUUUUAAGGAAUGGGUGGGAGUGGGCAUUUUUGGUGCAAUGUGUUGCUUCGGUAUGUUCCUCUGUUUGUGGUUUCUCUGUCGCCUUAUGGCCCGCAGUGCUCAUGAUAAGGCUAUGAU
rnacentral:lncRNA from 1 species